rnacentral:SRP_RNA from 1 species
GAUUGGACACCUCGCAACAGACGAAUACGAACCCCGUCAGGUCCGGAAGGAAGCAGCGGUAAGUAUCACCGGCUGUGUCGUGGUCUACUCUAAU